GACGUAGGAGGCGAGCGUUGUCCGGAUUCAUUGGGCGUAAAGAGCACGCAGGCGGUUUGGCAAGUCGGAUGUGAAAACCCGAAGCUCAACUUCGGGCCUGCAUCCGAAACUGCCCGACUAGAGGUAGGUAGGGGAGAUCGGAAUUCCUGGUGUAGCGGUGAAAUGCGCAGAUAUCAGGAGGAACACCGGUGGUGUAAGACGGCUUCUGGACCA
rnacentral:rRNA from 1 species